rnacentral:rRNA from 1 species
AGCAGCAGCCACGGUAAUACGUAGGUGGCAAGCGUUGUCCGGAAUUAUUGGGCGUAAAGCGCGCGCAGGUGGUUUAAUAAGUCUGAUGUGAAAGCCCACGGCUCAACCGUGGAGGGUCAUUGGAAACUGUUAAACUUGAGUGCAGGAGAGAAAAGUGGAAUUCCUAGUGUAGCGGUGAAAUGCGUAGAGAUUAGGAGGAACACCAGUGGCGAAGGCGGCUUUUUGGCCUGUAACUGACGCUGAGGAGCGAAAGCGUGGGGAGCGAACAGGAUUAGAUACCCCUGUAGUCCCUGUCUCUUAUAC